rnacentral:tRNA from 1 species
UGGUCUAGAGGUAUGAUUCUCGCUUUGGGUGCGAGAGGUCCCGGGUUCGAAUCCCGG